UUUUAAUUGGGCUUCGACAAGUAUGAAGAGAAUGCGUAAUCCACGUGUCCCCUUUUCCCGUGAAAGUUAACCCAUUCCGACUCGUAAAUCGACCGUUGGUAACAAGGUUUGACAUGGUCUCGGUGCAAAAAAGCGGAGAAAAAGAGGAAAAGAGGGAACAUAAAGUCUCGGUCCACGCACGACAAGGGAGGUGUCAAAAUUUACGACGACAAACUUUCGUGGAGAUGCUGUCUCUAGACCUAGGGCUCCCAGAUCUGUGGUACAGCACUACCGACGGUCUGUACCCGGCAG